AAAAAAUUAGUUAAACCCAAUAACAUUAGUCUGUCAACCUAAAAUUGUCCUUUCGACAUUUUUUA
rnacentral:tRNA from 1 species